rnacentral:rRNA from 1 species
GGCAGCAGCCGCGGGAACACCGGCGGCCCGAGUGGUGAUCGUGAUUAUUGGGUCUAAAGGGUCCGUAGCCGGUUUGGUCAGUCCUCCGGGAAAUCUGAUAGCUCAACUAUUAGGCUUUCGGGGGAUACUGCCAGACUUGGAACCGGGAGAGGUAAGAGGUACUACAGGGGUAGGAGUGAAAUCUUGUAAUCCCUGUGGGACCACCUGUGGCGAAGGCGUCUUACCAGAACGGGUUCGACGGUGAGGGACGAAAGCUGGGGGCACGAACCGGAUUAGAUACCCGGGUAGUCCCAGCCGUAAACGAUGCUCGCUAGGUGUCAGGCAUGGCGCGACCGUGUCUGGUGCCGCAGGGAAGCCGUGAAGCGAGCCACCUGGGAAGUACGGCCGCAAGGCUGAAACUUAAAGGAAUUGGCGGGGGAGCACAACAACGGGUGGAAGCCUGCGGUUUAAUUGGACUCAACGCCGGACAACUCACCGGGGGCGACAGCAAUAUGUAGGCCAAGCUGAAGACUUUGCCUGAAUCGCUGAGAAGAGGUGCAUGG